rnacentral:rRNA from 1 species
GACGAACGCUGGCGGCGUGCUUAGCACAUGCAAGUCGAACGGUGAAAGGGAGCUUGCUCCCUGGAUCAGUGGCGAACGGGUGAGUAACACGUGGGCAACCUGCCCCAGACUUCGGGAUAACGCUUCGAAAGAGGUGCUAAUACCGGAUACGAACUCCUUGGGCCUCCUUGGAGUUGGAAAGUUUUUCGGUCUGGGAUGGGCCCGCGGCCUAUCAGCUUGUUGGUGAGGUAACGGCUCACCAAGGCGACGACGGGUAGCCGGCCUGAGAGGGCGACCGGCCACACUGGGGCUGAGACACGGCCCAGACUCCUACGGGAGGCAGCAGUGGGGAAUAUUGCGCAAUGGGCGAAAGCCUGACGCAGCAACGCCGCGUGAGGGAUGACGGCCUUCGGGUUGUAAACCUCUUUCAGCAGGGAAGAAGCGAAAGUGACGGUACCUGCAGAAGAAGCACCGGCUAACUACGUGCCAGCAGCCGCGGUAAAAC